UUCCAUAAUACCCGGUGGAGGGACUGAACGGAAGUGUCUUGCGAUGCCAAAUACACGCAUAAUAAUGAUUCAUCAACCUCUUGGUCUGCCCAUUCACGUAUCAACUGAUUGCUUAUCCUUAGUUGAGGGUGUUCUGGGCCGAGAAGACCCCCCUUGGCAGGCCCAACCGUUCAUUCUGGACUGCAAACUCCUCCUAGCCCAAAUGGAAGACAUAACUAUUAUCUAUGAGCCCAGGCAGACUAACAUGGCAGCGGACUGGGUAGCACGUGCGCAUCGAGCAAAUUCACUUCCAUGUAAUUGGGUUAAUUAUCCUCCUAUGCCUCUUCUUUCUAUAUUAUGUCUAGAUGUACCUGCUUAUGGAGCCUAUGUUAUGUGCCAGUAAUGAAUAUCAUCUCCUUUCGACAAAAAAAAACCUCUUGGUGGUGCAAGUGGACAAUAUAGAUGUGGAAAUUUAAGCCCCAGAAGAUAUGCAUAACAGAACUAAUGUCACCAGGAUUAUUUCUUCUUCCACUGGACGUCCAUUCGAACAAGUUGAAAAAGAUACUGACAGAGAUCAGUUGUUUAGUUACCAUUGGAAAAACUAUGUUAAGAGUUUAUGUGAUCC
rnacentral:lncRNA from 1 species